CACCUCGAAGGCGAUGUGCGC
rnacentral:siRNA from 1 species